GUUUUGGUAGUUUAAUUAAGAACAUAGUUUUGAAGCAGCUAAAGUCGAUUAUAGUGUUCGCUGAAACA
rnacentral:tRNA from 2 species